CCUACGGGUGGCAGCAGUGGGGAAUAUUGGACAAUGGGGGGAACCCUGAUCCAGCCAUGCCGCGUGUGUGAAGAAGGCCCUCGGGUUGUAAAGCACUUUCAGUGAGGAAGAACGCCUGGUGGUUAAUACCCAUCAGGAAAGACAUCACUCACAGAAGAAGCACCGGCUAACUCCGUGCCAGCAGCCGCGGUAAUACGGAGGGUGCGAGCGUUAAUCGGAAUUACUGGGCGUAAAGCGCGCGUAGGUGGCUUGAUAAGCCGGUUGUGAAAGCCCCGGGCUCAACCUGGGAACGGCAUCCGGAACUGUCAAGCUAGGGUGCAGGAGAGGAAGGUAGAAUUCCCGGUGGAGCGGAGAAAUGCGUAGAGUUCGGGAGGAAUACCAGUGGCGAAGGCGGCCUUUUGGACUGACACUGACACUGAGGUGCGAAAGCGUGGGUAGCAAACAGGAUUAGAUACCCUGGUAGUC
rnacentral:rRNA from 1 species